UACGGAGGGUGCAAGCGUUAUCCGGAUUCACUGGGUUUAAAGGGUGCGUAGGUGGGGCUGUAAGUCAGUGGUGAAAUCUCCAAGCUUAACUUGGAAACUGCCGUUGAUACUAUAGCUCUUGAAUGUUGUGGAGGAGAGCGGAAUAUGUCAUGUAGCGGUGAAAUGCUUAGAUAUGACAUAGAACACCAAUUGCGAAGGCAGCUCACUACACAAAUAUUGACACUGAGGCACGAAAGCGUGGGGAUCAAACAGG
rnacentral:rRNA from 1 species